rnacentral:lncRNA from 1 species
CGAGUGAAUGUUGCAAGAAUAAAAAUAUGUUUCAAGUGUUUAUGCAAAUGACCUAAUGUGGCAAUUAAAAUCAUCCCUUUGCUAGGUCAUUACCCCUCUUUAUAGUAUGGCAAAGCUAAAAAGAAACUAUUCAAAUUUGAUCGCCCUUCGCCUCGAUCAAUUUAAAACUAAUACCGAAGUUUACCGUUUCUUUUCUUCGGUUCGUGCCUCCAAUCUUUUAAUCCUUCGAUAAUUAUCCAUGUGCAUCAAGGACAUGGUACUAACUCAAAUAUUUAACUUAAAGGGAAACGGUUAGUCCACAAUUAGCAUUUUUCAUUAAUUACUAAAAUUAACAACGGGGGCCUAGAUGCUUCAAUGUACAGUGAUGAAACUCGUAUGAAACACAGAUUCGCAUGGACAUAAUAGAGCAACAUAUGAAUCAUGGAUUUGCACAGCCGAACUGAUCUAUCACACAAGUACAACCGAUCAUAACACGAUAGCAACCAUGACUUGUGACUACACAGCUUGAACAACAACUUUGCAUGCAUGAAUCCAAAAAUUUAC